UUAAGUUCAGCGGGUAUCCCUACUUGAUUCGAGGUCAACCUGAAAAAGUUUUGAGGUUGCUGGCUAGCAUCUCCCAGGACCCUAUAGCGAGAAAAGUUACUACGCGUAGAGCCUGAAAGCACCGCCACUGGUUUUAAGACCCGCCCGGAGGCGCGGUCCAACACCCAGCUAGGCUGGAGGGGUCAUAAUGACGCUCGAAC
rnacentral:misc_RNA from 1 species